UUCCUCGUCGUCCUUUUCCCCAGCUGGAGAAUAAACUGAAACCUUCUUUUGCAGGAGGGUGCUUGCAAGGAACAGUUUGAGCGUGUUCAGCAGGAGCACUAGCAGGAGUCUGGACAACGGCCGGACUGUCAACUCCAGGGCCGCCACGGAGGUCCACACCCCCAAGUAUUCUCUCCCCCGCCUCAGUAAUUGAAAUCUCCUGCGGUGCAGCCGCCUGGCAUCUGAAUCCUGCUUCCUGCUUGUUGGAAUAAAGGACCUGUUUCCAACUACAGAAGCUGAAGGGGCCACAUCCUCCUUCUCCCUGUCCCUGACAGCUGAGGCUCCUCAAGAGUGGCUGCACCAACUUAAAUCCCCGUGAUGGUGAUUACUUCUUAGAUGUGCCCAUGGGCUUCUCGGGUGAUACUGGUGAGGACCUCAGCACUAAGCAGUCUGACUGAAUGUCUACAGCCUCGCCAGGCAACAAUUUCAACAGAAAAACUGCUGCUGAUACACGGAGUUGGAAGAUUAAGGAAUCAGUUCCUGUUUCUCUGGUUCUGGCCGACCCUAGAAUCAACUCCCUUGAUUGGAAAUAAACAGGAUUUUCCUUUCUGUCCCCAGGAAUGUGACAGAGGAAGGACUCUAGGGGAAAAGGCCUCGUCUGCCAAAGAAUAAUAAUAAUAACAAAGAUGACAGUAGGAAUAAAAUAUCGCCCUCUUCAUCAAGGCGAUAAGGAAGUAUCCAGUUAUGCGUGUUGAGCCUUCUCACUCUCCAUAUACAUAUGUUAGAACUUCAGAAUUUAGCCCAGGUUUGAUUUGAACUUUCUGUCCUAUGGUCGUCUUGAGUGUACUGAACAAAUUGGGCUACAUGUCUCACCUUUGGUUUCAGAAGAUAGGACCCCAAUUAGAGCACUUCGUGUUGAUGUAUUACCUUAAAUGUCUGAGUAUGAACCUCUUUCCUGGAGGGUGUGUCUGUGUCAUGAGUGCCCCCAGUGCCUGGCAUGGGGCCUAGCCUUUGGAAACCGGGGCAGAGGGGCUGUGAUAUAAAUGGGUGAGGCAGGGAGUCCUCCAGCUCCCUCUCUCUUGGCUGAGGAAUGGCAUGAACCCAGAUGACUACAUGAACCUUCCCUUCCCCUUGGUGCUCCUGGGGCAGGGACAGGAAGCGCUUUAUGCAGGGAGAAACCCCAAUAAGACUCAGCCUCUCUGUUGAUUUCUGCAAACUCCUUGUGUUCCAAAGAAAUCAUUUGCCCACUUCUGGGCCAGCUGGAUGAGUUUGCUCUCUCCCCUCCCAAGGGCAGGUCCAUGUUACCUGAAGAAACUUCCCUUUUUGGUUAAGAAGGUGAUGAGGUAGAAGAAUGUCCCCGCCCUGCUCACUCUUCCAGUCUUCCUCGGUUCAGAGAUAGAUACUUUUUCUCCUUCUCCUCUCCCUCCUGCUCCUUCUCCUUGUUCCUCUGUUCUGAAGAUUAACUUCCCAAAGCUGAGGGGAGUAAGGAGAGGUGAAUCCAAUCUGUUCCUAGAGGAGCCCUCCUUCACUACAUUAAACAAAUUUUUACUCUGCUGUGUAACUUUCAAUAGCUCCCUGUUGUCAUCAAUUUACAUUUCUAACAUUAAAGCCCACUUUAAUAUGAGCUGUCUUGAACUUUGUUCUUUGUGAUUUCCCAAUGUUCUCUCCCCGGAGUCAACUGGCCUUCCCAGUGUGUUCACUUAGUGGAGACGAGUGGUUGGAGAGGCAUUUGAGGCAAAACCAACAGCUAAAAGGCAAGCAGAGGAUGGCACAAGCAAGAAAGGAGGCCGGAGAGGCAAAGGUUGAUGGGAUAUAAAAGGUCUGAGGGACAGAGAAAGGGCAGGCGGGUCAACCCUCAGAAGUCACCCCCACUCAUCAGAAUGCUGACAAUAAAGAUGCAUGUUACGAUGCAUUAGCACCACGCCUGAGAGAGAACUGUGAUGGCCACAAAAUGCUGAACCACCAUUAUAACCAUCAUCAUCAACUGAACAACUAGGGCUUUCUAAGAUCUAAGGUUUAGAUCUAUGGAGUAAUAAAACGGGAACAAUGAAAAGGCCUGUGAACACCCUCUUUGAUGGAGGUGGGAAGCUACAGUCAUCAAUAAGUCUACUGAACUGAGGUACUUGCAAUGCCCAUGAGACCUGGAGUCUGGCGUGUCAGGAGUCAGUUUUCCCUUCUCUGUUCAAAUGGUGCCUAUGCCCAUUGGUAUUAAAGAAGCAGGGUGGAAAGGCUAGUAACUGUUGGGCUGGCUCUCAGUUGCAAUAGGGCAUGGGUAAUACAUGAAAUUGAACUGGAAUCUGGUAAUUUUUUUGCCAGCAAAAGUCUGUCCAAAGAUACGGUUUUCCCAGUAGUCAUGUAUGGAUGUGAGAGUUGG